rnacentral:rRNA from 1 species
GACGAACGCUGGCGGCGUGCUUAACACAUGCAAGUCGAACGGAAAGGCCCUGCUUUUGUGGGGUGCUCGAGUGGCGAACGGGUGAGUAACACGUGAGUAACCUGCCCUUGACUUUGGGAUAACUUCAGGAAACUGGGGCUAAUACCGGAUAGGAGCUCCUGCUGCAUGGUGGGGGUUGGAAAGUUUCGGCGGUUGGGGAUGGACUCGCGGCUUAUCAGCUUGUUGGUGGGGUAGUGGCUUACCAAGGCUUUGACGGGUAGCCGGCCUGAGAGGGUGACCGGCGAAGGUGGUGAGGAGAGACGGCCCAGAGGGACGCGGGGGGGAGCGGUGGGAAAUAGGGAACAGCGGGCGGAGGCCGGCGGCAGCGAGGCGGGGUGGGGGAGGCGGGCCUGCGGGUGGUAAACCGCUUGCGGCGGGGGAGAGGCGUGAGUGACGGUGAGGGGAAAGGAGGCACCGGGUAACGACGUGCCAGCAGCGGGGGUAAGGAAAAAAAGAGCACACGACUGAAC